UACGUAGGGGGCAAGCGUUGUCCGGAAUCAUUGGGCGUAAAGAGCGUGUAGGCGGUUCGGUAAGUCGGCUGUGAAAGUCCAGGGCUCAACCCUGGGAUGCCGGCCGAUACUGCCGGACUAGAGUUCGGAAGAGGCGAGUGGAAUUCCCGGUGUAGCGGUGAAAUGCGCAGAUAUCGGGAGGAACACCUAUGGCGAAGGCAGCUCGCUGGGACGUUACUGACGCUGAGACGCGAAAGCGUGGGGGAGCAAACAGG
rnacentral:rRNA from 1 species